CGACCGGCGCACGGGUGAGUAACGCGUAUGCAACCUGCCCGAUACCGGGGUAUAGCCCAUGGAAACGUGGAUUAACACCCCAUAGUACUUUUAUCUUGCAUGGGAUGUGAGUUAAAUGUUCAAGGUAUCGGAUGGGCAUGCGUCCUAUUAGUUAGUUGGCGGGGUAACAGCCCACCAAGACGAUGAUAGGUAGGGGUUCUGAGAGGAAGGUCCCCCACAUUGGAACUGAGACACGGUCCAA
rnacentral:rRNA from 1 species